GGCUGGGAUGGCUCAGUUGGUAGAGGAUGAGACUCUUAAUCUCAGGGUCGUGGGUUUGAAUCCCACAUUGGACA